rnacentral:tRNA from 1 species
GCACUGGUGGUUUGGUGGUAGAAUUCUUGCCUUACAUGCAGGAGACCUGGAUUCGAUUCCCACCCAAUGCA